AUUGAACGCUGGCGGCAGGCUUAACACAUGCAAGUCGAGCGGGGAAGGGUAGCUUGCUACCUAACCUAGCGGCGGACGGGUGAGUAAUGCUUAGGAAUCUGCCAUUUAGUGGGGGACAACAUUCCGAAAGGAAUGCUAAUACCGCAUACGUCCUACGGGAGAAAGCAGGGGAUCUUCGGACCUUGCGCUAAAUGAUGAGCCUAAGUCGGAUUAGCUAGUUGGUGGGGUAAAGGCCUACCAAGGCGACGAUCUGUAGCGGGUCUGAGAGGAUGAUCCGCCACACUGGGACUGAGACACGGCCCAGACUCCUACGGGAGGCAGCAGUGGGGAAUAUUGGACAAUGGGCGGAAGCCUGAUCCAGCCAUGCCGCGUGUGUGAAGAAGGCCUUAUGGUUGUAAAGCACUUUAAGCGAGGAGGAGGCUACUUAGAUUAAUACUCUAGGAUAGUGGACGUUACUCGCAGAAUAAGCACCGGCUAACUCUGUGCCAGCCGCCGCGGUAAAAC
rnacentral:rRNA from 1 species